rnacentral:rRNA from 1 species
GGCGAACGGGUGCGUAACACGUGAGCGACCUGCCGAAGUGUGGGGGACAACCGGUGGAAACGCCGGCUAAUACCGCAUGAUGCCUUAUCCCUGCAUGGGGAUCUGGCCAAAGGUCCUCUCAAGGGACUGCGCUUCGAGGGGCUCGCGGGGUAUCAGGUAGUUGGUGGGGUAAUGGCUCACCAAGCCGACGACGCCUAGCUGAUCUGAGAGGAUGAUCAGCCACAUUGGGACUGAGAUACAGCCCAGACUCCUACGGGAGGCAGCAGUGGGGAAUCUUGCGCAAUGGUCGAAAGACUGACGCAGCGACGCCGCGUGGGGGAGGAAGGUCUUCGGAUCGUAAACCCCUGUCACCGGGGACGAAUCCUGUGGGGAGGAAAUGCCCUGACAGUUGACGGUACCCGGGGAGGAAGCACCGGCUAACUCUGUGCCAGCAGCCGCGGUAAUACAGAGGGUGCGAGCGUUGUUCGGAAUUACUGGGCGUAAAGCGCGCGCAGGCGGCUUCUUAAGUCUAUGGGUGAAAGACCGGGGCUCAACCCCGUGUCAGCCCGGGAUACUGGGAAGCUAGGGACAUGUAGGGGCGAGCGGAAUUCCGGGUGUAGCGGUGGAAUGCGUAGAGAUCCGGAAGAACACCGGGGGCGAAGGCGGCUCGCUGGGCAUGGUCCGACGCUGAGGCGCGAAAGCGUGGGGAGCGAACAGGAUUAGAUACCCUGGUAGUCC